rnacentral:misc_RNA from 1 species
UUUUUUUUUUUUUUUUAAUCAUAAUACUCAUUUCAUUCAAAUAAAAUAAAGAGGUACAAUAUUAAAAAUCUAACUAAAACAUCUUUAAACUUAUAAACAAAUAGAUUUUUAGCACUCUUAAUACAUUCAAUUCAAUGUUCACAUAGUUUAAAAAAAAUAAAAAAAGAAAUCAGAUUAGUGAUAAGUGAGCCACCUAAAAUUAGGUGGGAAUGUAGAUUGAAGACCUCCUAUGUGUCACACUGAGCUAGUGACACUGUGAGUCUCAAAGCGAGGUGGGGUUUGUUAAUCUCUAGAUAAACAUUCUGAGACAGUCUGCAAACUAAUAGUCUAAGCUUUUUUUAUAUUAAAGAAAUACCAUUCACUAUAAAGAUAGAUUAGAUGUCGAAUAGAUCUAUCUAAAACACCACCUGAUCUAGCAUUCUUUCUCUUUCCGAGCACAAAAAACCCUUUAAGGGAGACUAGAGGUGAACUAACAAAAAAUGACAUAAAGCCCUCACUAAAAUGGAUGAAACCCAUAUGAAAAAUAAAGAGACAAAAGAAAGAAAGACGAAGGAAUAGGAGAAAGAAGAAGAAGAUAGAAGAUGAAGAAGGUGAGAAGGAAAGAGAGGACAGCCCCUCCCCAAAGCCAUUUUCUUGUUGAGAGGGUUUUUAGUGAGAGAAAGCUUAGAGAGUUUUUGAGAAGAAUUUUAAAU